UAUAUCCCUAGCAAUUGUUAAUAGAGGUGCCACAUCACCGUAUACAUCACUCAGCAAUUGCUAAAAAAAUAGGGAUGUAUAUGCUUUAACCCUAUACAGAAUAUACAAGAUUAAUCAUAAUCCUUUUCUAACUAGACAAACUAACCAGACCAAACCCAUAAGCCUUCAGUUUAUCAUACUCCAUAACCUAACGGUUUGUGCGAAAAGGGUAGGAGAGAGCGUACCGAAAGGUAAGAUACAGCUGGAUUUGCAAGCCGCGAUUCAGUAUCUGAUGGGGGAUGGUGAGCUCACACACCAGCACUCUUCUGAGGUCACUAGUUUAUGUGAGUUGUUGGAUCAGGACCGGAUGAUCAAAAUUGAGCAUAUUUAUU
rnacentral:lncRNA from 1 species